rnacentral:rRNA from 1 species
AUUCAGUCGAGCGGUGGCGGGAGCCCGCUGGCGGACGAAACACCGUGGUCGCACACGGCCCGGGUCUGCCGCGACGAGUUCCGCUGCCCUAGACGCAUUUUUUCCCGUCCGAAGGACGCCGCAGCCGGUCGGGUAGUCGCAAGCGCGACGGCCUGAGAGGCGGGAGACGGCAGGUGGCCGGAGCUUCCGCUCGCUCGGUCGCUCCGGUUGUUAGCCAUCCCGUCUGUGGCGCGUCACUCGACCGAGGCAUCGCGAAGCCUCACCAUGGGCUUCUCCGCCUCCUUCCGCGGCGAAGCGGACGCCCCCUGCAGGCUGGGACGAGCCCCGGAGGCCGCACGCGCAUGCGUGGGCGCCGGACCCGGUCCUGUCGAAGCGAGGGGCGUUCCGCGGGAGGUCGGCGGCUCGCGGCGAGUAGGUCGGUCAUCCACCCGACCCGUCUUGAAACACGGACCAAGGAGUCUAACAUGUGCGCGAGUCAGUGGGACUUGAAUAGGCCCACGGGCGCAAUGAAAGCAAAGGCCUGGCCUCACCAGGCCGAGUUGGGAUCCCCGGCCCCGGCCGGGGCGCACCAACGGCCCGUCCUAUCCGACUCGUCGGUUGGGCGGAGCGUGAGCGUACACGUUGGGACCCGAAAGAUGGUGAACUAUGCCCGGGCAGGACGAGGCCAGAGGAAACUCUGGUGGAGGUCCGCAGCGGUUCUGACGUGCAAAU